rnacentral:rRNA from 1 species
GACGAACGCUGGCGGCGUGCUUAACACAUGCAAGUCGAACGGAAAGGCCCUGCUUGCAGGGUACUCGAGUGUCGAACGGGUGAGUAACACGUGGGUGAUCUGCCCUGCACUUCGGGAUAAGCCUUGGGAACUGGGUCUAUUACCGGGUAGGAGACCUUUUUCGUGUGAUGGUUGGAAAGUUUUUUGGGUGUAGGAUGAGAUCGCGGCCUAUUAGCUUGUUGGUGGGGUAAUGGCCUACCAACGCGGCGACGGGUAGCCGGCCUGGGGGGGUGGACGGCCACCAUGGGACUUAGGAUCGGCCCCGGAUCCCAAGGGGAGGAACAAGGGGGGAUAAUGCACAAUGGGCGGAAGCCGGAAGCAAGGACGCCGCGUGGGGGAUGAAGGGCUUUGGGUUGGAAACCCGUUUUGGCAGGGGAGGAACUGUGAGUGACGGUAACUAGUUAAGAAGCACCGGCUAACUACGUG